UGCCGGAUCGUAUAAUGGUAGUACAGCGCCCUCUGGAGGCGUUUAUCUUGGUUCGAAUCCAAGUCCGGCAA
rnacentral:tRNA from 2 species